UACAUAUUUCCAUUUGUAAGCAUCCACCUCCAUGCCCCGGGUGGUAAUAAGGUCAGUAACAGCAAGUUUCAAGUGAAGUUUAGCAGUUUAUAAUUGUGAGCUGUGUACUUUUUACUGCUUUAGCUUCUGUUCUUUUCUUCCUUAAUGGUUUGUAUAUGCCACAUUAAGCAGGCAGGAAAAAGACUCGAUAGAAGGCUGCAUGAGUGGUCAGAAGUCGGUGGUACUGGCAAGGUACUUAACUUUGUGAAUUUUUUUAUAGGGGCAUGACAGGUGAUAGUUUUUUUUAAUCUUGUGAUGGCAACAAAAU
rnacentral:lncRNA from 1 species